AUUGAACGCUGGCGGCAGGCCUAACACAUGCAAGUCGAGCGGAGCGGCGGACGGGUGAGUAAUGCCUAGGACUCUGCCAGGUAGUGGGGGAUAACGUCCGGCAACGGGCGCUAAUACCGCAUACUAUCAGAUGAGCCUAGGUCGGAUUAGCUAGUUGGUGGGGUAAAGGCCUACAAGGGCGACGAUCCGUAACUGGGCUGAGCGGAUGAUCAGUCAAACGGGAACUGAGACACGGCCCAGACUCCUACGGGAGGAGGAAGUGGGGAAUAUUGGACAAUGGGCGAAAGCCUGAUCUAGCCAUGCCGCGUGUGUGAAGAAGGUCUUCGGAUUGUAAAGCACGUUAAGUUGGGAGGCGUUACCAACAGAAUAAGCACCGGCUAACUUCGUGCCAGCAGCCGCGGUAAUAC
rnacentral:rRNA from 1 species